rnacentral:rRNA from 1 species
UGUGAGCGUGCGGGCGAUACGGGCAGACUUGAGUACUGCAGGGGAGACUGGAAUUCCUGGUGUAGCGGUGGAAUGCGCAGAUAUCAGGAGGAACACCGGUGGCGAAGGCGGGUCUCUGGGCAGUAACUGACGCUGAGGAGCGAAAGCGUGGGGAGCGAACAGGAUUAGAUACCCUGGUAGUCCACGCCGUAAACGGUGGGUACUAGGUGUGGGUUUCCUUCCUUGGGAUCCGUGCCGUAGCUAACGCAUUAAGUACCCCGCCUGGGGAGUACGGCCGCAAGGCUAAAACUCAAAGAAAUUGACGGGGGCCCGCACAAGCGGCGGAGCAUGUGGAUUAAUUCGAUGCAACGCGAAGAACCUUACCUGGGUUUGACAUGCACAGGACGCCGGCAGAGAUGUCGGUUCCCUUGUGGCCUGUGUGCAGGUGGUGCAUGGCUGUCGUCAGCUCGUGUCGUGAGAUGUUGGGUUAAGUCCCGCAACGAGCGCAACCCUUGUCUCAUGUUGCCAGCGGGUAAUGCCGGGGACUCGUGAGAGACUGCCGGGGUCAACUCGGAGGAAGGUGGGGAUGACGUCAAGUCAUCAUGCCCCUUAUGUCCAGGGCUUCACACAUGCUACAAUGGCCGGUACAAAGGGCUGCGAUGCCGCGAGGUUAAGCGAAUCCUUUUAA